rnacentral:lncRNA from 1 species
GAGUUGGGGGAGAGGACCAGAACCACCUGCUGGAGAAGGGGAGCUACGGGGGCCGGGCAGGGUCCAAACGCCUCACGUAGGCGGCGGCGCCACGGUCUUCGGGGUCACAGGGAAGAGAAGGGCUCUCCUCAAGCGGGUGGAAGGAGGGAGGCCUCCCGAGGGAGUGAGACUCUAGGCCACUCCCCCGCAGCAAGGCAGGAUCACCUGCGACGCGGAGAGCGGUUAGAGGGCCCUGGAGUGGAAAAGGGCAGUGGGACCUGGUAGCUUGGGUUCCCUGCAACUUGGGGUUCGACCUCCAGGCAAUGAAGUAGGGAUGGUCCUGCAAGUCAAGAUUCCAGUAGCAAGAGUGCAUCAGAUCUCUGUAAGGAAAAUAACUAACAUUGCUCAGUUCCCUGUAGAGUUGCAGGGCGCUUUAACGUUAUCUCCCUUGGUUCUCCAUCAGGUCGUAGUGGACUAAUUUUACAGGCGAAGUUAAGUGACUUACCCAAAACCUCACAGCUAAUAAACGGCAGAGCCGGCACCCAGCUGUACUGGCUUCCAAUUCUGUUAGCUUACCAGCGCAUCACAUUAUCUCCAUAAAUCCCCAUGAUUCAACUAAUAUUAGACGCCCCACAGGUAAGAUGCUUCAGAGUUAGAGGGGAGUUGAAGAUACCUUUGCCUUCAAAGAAGUAAGGAAUAAAACAAAGAUAAAACAGACAAUAAAAGACAAACCAUGAUAGGUGCCACGUGAAAAGUGGCAGAGUACUGCCGGGAAUCAAAGAACCGUGUAUAUCUGUCUUGGGGAUAAGGAAAGAAAGGCAGCAUGAAGGAGUAGGCAUUUGGGAUUGACCUUGAAGGAGACAGGGAGAGUUUUACAGCAAGCAGGGAUAGCAUGAGAAUAUAUAUGAAGGCGAAUCAGUGAAAGUUGUGUUGGGGAAAGAGCAAAGACUCCAGGGUAUGUUGAGAGGUAGAAAAGACAAAGGAGUAUGGGGCCUAAGAUACCAAAUGGAUGAAUUUAUAUUUAAUUCAGUAUUUUGAGUUUUUAUGGUUCAGAAGUUUGGGGGAAGAAAAGGAAGGUUUUUUUUUUUCUUUGUGCUAGUGAUUUAUCUGUGAGGGGAAGCAGAAAUCAGAGGUGGAAAAACGGACAGAUCUACUGUAGGCCAGGUAAAAAUGAUGAGUCUGACCUAAAGGGACAGCUAGGGGAAUUUAAAAGAGCAUAGUUGAGAGAUGAUGUGCAUGCAGUAUCUAUAGAAUUUGGCAACUGAUUGAUUAAUUGUGGGUAGGAAGAGAGAAAUCAAAGAAAGUGGAGGUUUUGAGUUUGUAGAUAAUUGCAAGAGAGAAAAGAGACAAUUACAAAGGAGAGGGAGCUACUUCUUGAGAGAUCAGUUUAGAUUUGGACAUUUUAAGAAUUCAAAGGGUUGUCAAGACAGCCAGAGAGACAUGGACACUAAUAAGUUAGAAAUAAAGGUUUUGUAAUAUGGGAAAGAGGACUGAACUAGAAAAUAGACUCAUAAAUAAUCAGCCUAGGAGUGAUAUUGCUGUGAGAUAAAAGAAGAAAACAAAGGUCAGAAUCUUGGAAAACACCCUCUUUAGAGUCUCGCUACUCAAAACGUGGUCAGUGGCCCAGCAGCACUGACAUGAGGAUGUUAGUUAGAAACUCAGAAUCUCAGGCUCCACCCCAGACCUGCUGAACCAGCAUCUUCAACUUAACAAGAACCCGAAGAGAUUUGUGUCACAUCAAAAAGUUUGAGAAGCUCUGAUCUAGGUGAGCCAAGCCAGCAAAGAAAGGGGAUGGAGCAGAAAAUGGGAGGAGAAUAGGGUAACGCAGAAUCAUCAAGACAAGGUAAAUUGGAGUUUCACAAAAACAGGGCUGGAAGGAGUGUUGCUCAACAAUAUCCAAAACCACAGAGGUUGAAAAGCACAAGGAAAGAAGCUGGACCCUGGACACGGUGACUCUGAUUCAAUUAUGCAGAUGACCACAAACCUCUGGGGUUGGCAGAGCCACAAGAAAGAAGGUGCCUGGAUGAAGGAGAGCUACCCACUGACCUGGACACCCAAUUAUAGGAUAGACAGUGAAGUGCAACUACAGCCCGCAAAUGAAAAUGAAUAAUAUUAAUCCAGCCCCUCAAGGCAGGCGAGUAGCUGCUGUCAUCUGUCUUAGAGCUAUUGGAAUCCUGGAUCAUUGUGGGAAAUGAAAGGAACUGGUUUUUAGCAAGGAGACCAAGAAACUCUACUCCCUAGGGGCUAGCAAUGAGAGAAAGGAAGCCUUAAGUCUUUGAGCACAGGGUGACAGUUUGGGUCCUAUGUGAGAUGAUCAAAUCCACAGCAACAGAGGAAAGGACAAAAGGAAAAGAUACUUCGAUGGAAUCAGCAGCCAUUGAUCCAAUGCCAACUCCAAGACUGGAACGUCGCAAUGAUAGUUCCAAGGCGGAAAUUUGACGUAAUUCUUUUCGACACAGUUUUACAGGCAUCUUGCAUGUGAAUAACUCACAACUUUAAUUCAUGGAACAAAUUGAGAAAUAGUCUUUUGGGGGUUUGGUACUCCCUGGAAACAUAAGAGUGCUUUGGGCACCUCUGGUGCCUUUCCAUGCCUGCCUUCUCUGCUGUUCUUGCUACUAGUGAAUUCUAAAUCAUGGCCAAGUGAUGCCAGCACUGGAUAAUAUUGGCUCUGCCCCAUAUCUCGAGGGAAAACUCUAGGACUUGGCAUUAUAUGUGUGGGAAUCUGGCCUUGGUUGGCACUCCCAGCAUGAUAGCGGGGUUCUCCUGUCUGAAUGUACUCUGGGGUGUGCGCCACAAUUUCUGUCAUCGAAAUGGAGAUGAGAGAAUAUGCCCUUGGUGGGGACACCCCACUGGAAUUAGAGUGAAGAGAUCAAAGCUAGAGGUUCUUAAAUCAAAGAAUAUCUAAUAGCAAAGACAAAAACUUGCUUAAGGGAAAUGCAUACAAGUACUAGACCUAAUAUGAUGAAAAAUGCCAACUUCAAUAUAUUGAUGCAUGCUUAGUACACUUUCAGUCCUGCAAAGACAAAGUUUUUUGUUGUUUUUUUUUUGAGACGGAGUCUCGCUCUGUCGCCCAGGUUGGAGUGC